AGUGAACGCUGGCGGCGUGCCUAAUACAUGCGAGUCGAACGAUGAAGUCCUAGCUUGCUAGGAUGGAUUAGUGGCGCACGGGUGAGUAAUAUAUAGUUAAUCUGCCCUACACAGAGGAACAACAGUUGGAAACGACUGCUAAUACCUCAUACUCCUAUUUGACAUAAGUUAAAUAGGGAAAGUCUUUUCGGUGUAGGAUGAGACUAUAUCGUAUCAGCUAGUUGGUAAGGUAAUGGCUUACCAAGGCUAUGACGCGUAACUGGUCUGAGAGGAUGAUCAGUCACAUUGGAACUGAGACACGGUCCAAACUCCUACGGGAGGCAGCAGUAAGGAAUAUUGCGCAAUGGGGGAAACCCUGACGCAGCAACGCCGCGUGGAGGAUGACACUUUUCGGAGCGUAAACUCCUUUUAUCAGGAAAGAAUAAUGACGGUACCUGAUGAAUAAGCACCGGCUAACUCCGUG
rnacentral:rRNA from 1 species